GGAAUAUUGCGCAAUGGGCGAAAGCCUGACGCAGCAACGCCGCGUGCGGGAAGAAGGGCUUCGGCUCGUAAACCGCUUUUCUGCGGGAAGAGCAAGGACGGUACCGCAGGAAUAAGUCUCGGCUAACUACGUGCCAGAAGCCGCGGUAAAACGUAGGAGGCAAACGUUAUCCGGAUUUACUGGGCGUAAAGCGCGUGCAGGUGGCCCCUUAAGUCGUGCGUGAAAGCUCCCAGGCUCAACCGGGAGAGGUCGUGCGAUACUGAGGGACUUGAGACAGAGAGAGGCAAGUAGAAUUCCGGGUGUAGUGGUGAAAUGCGUAGAUAUCCGGAGGAAUACCAGUGGCGAAGGCGGCUUGCUGGCUCUGUUCUGACACUCAGACGCGAAAGCAUGGGGAGCGAAC
rnacentral:rRNA from 1 species